CUAAUUACAUCUUCUCCACUCUUUGUCGUUGAGAGGGUUUUGGAACUAAGUCCAAUGGAGAACAAUCUGCGGACUGUUCUGUUGAUUCCGGUAAUCAGAACGGCAGAGGGGUUGUUAGAUUCCAGCGUCCCUUGUUGGUUUUUGGUGAGCUGAGCAGCCUGAUACUAGCAUCAUCUCUCUUUUCCUUUUGAUUCAUUUUUUUUUCCUGAGAAAAUCUUACAGAUUUGAUGAACCUCUAUCUGCAAUUCCUUUUGAUUCCUCUUUUUAGUCUCAGAAUAUGGAAAAUCUUUUUCUUCCUCUGGGUCUCCCAAAACAUUUCAGGAGCUUCUCUGUAACGGCUUCAUCUACUAAUGGUCUCUCUCUCUUCCUCAUUGUCUGUCCACGCUCAAUCACUUAUGGGUUUGAAGUGUUCUACCGACCUAUAAUUCUGAGGCUGUAAUUAUGGUAGGAGGGGAGAAAAUGGAAUAACUAUACUGGUAUUUUCCAGAAAUUCUGCAAAGAAAGGACAAGGACACCACUCAUGUGUGCCAGAGCUAAUGACCCAGCAAAGGUGAAGGACCUUAUGGCGAGCAUUCGAGAAACCCUCUUAACGAAAUAAAAAUUUUCAUUUUGACGAUCCUCAGAGAUUUUGCUUGUGAUUCCUGCACCUAUUUUCACAAACAGGACCGCUGCUACUCUGGAGAUGUUCCCAUCAUGGCCAUUGAGUUUCCAGCAAACUGCAAGAGGGAGUUCAAAGUCGGGAGGAGAGAUUAGUGGUGAUUCACUGUUUACGAAACUACCAACGGAGUAAUCAUACCUUCUAUGUUUCUUGCUCAUCGGAUCGUCCCCUUCCUUCGCCACAUAAUCAUAAAACUUCUCAUUCUCCUGGUUAUCAUAGGAGACAUUGACUUCCAGAGUUGAAUUGCUUUAGGGUUUUGCCUUCCUUAUUUAUUUUUUUAUUUUUUUUAUUGUGGAAUUAUCAAAUUGCACAAAACCCUAAAAUACUUGAACCCAAUUUACUAUUUUCUUC